rnacentral:lncRNA from 1 species
UGGAUUUUUUAUCUUUUCUAUCAUGGGACUCACCAUCUUUUUUGCUGUAGGAGGGUCUAUUUUUACUUCUCUCCCUUUGCUCUGUAAUCAAUGCCUCAGAACCUGUAUCUGUCAAACCUUGGUUCUUUCGUCUGUUUGCUUCAUUCAAUAUAUUAUCCUUCACCAUAGUCAGGAUAAGUUUGUCACUAGCAGUGGAAUUACUCAGCAUCACCAUUAAUGUCUUCUAAUUGUCUGGUAAGGAACUCAGCAAGAUCAAUACCC